rnacentral:rRNA from 1 species
CUUGAACGCUGGCGGCAUGCCUUACACAUGCAAGUCGAACGGUAACAGGUCUUCGGAUGCUGACGAGUGGCGAACGGGUGAGUAAUACAUCGGAACGUGCCUAGUAGUGGGGGAUAACUACUCGAAAGAGUGGCUAACACCGCAUGAGAUCUACGGAUGAAAGCAGGGGAUCGCAAGACCUUGUGCUACUAGAGCGGCCGAUGGCAGAUUAGGUAGUUGGUGGGAUAAAAGCUUACCAAGCCGACGAUCUGUAGCUGGUCUGAGAGGACGAUCAGCCACACUGGGACUGAGACACGGCCCAGACUCCUACGGGAGGCAGCAGUGGGGAAUUUUGGACAAUGGGCGCAAGCCUGAUCCAGCAAUGCCGCGUGCAGGAUGAAGGCCUUCGGGUUGUAAACUGCUUUUGUACGGAACGAAAAGCCCUGGGUUAAUACCCUGGGGUCAUGACGGUACCGUAAGAAUAAGCACCGGCUAACUACGUGCCAGCCGCCGCAGUAACAC